GAUGAAGAACGUAGCGAAAUGCGAUAAGUAAUGUGAAUUGCAGAAUUCAGUGAAUCAUCGAAUUUUUGAACGCCCCUUGCGUUCCUUGGUAUUCCGAGGAGCAUGCCUGUUUGAGUGUCAUGAAAUUCUCAACCUGUCUGGCUUUUGCUAGUCAGGCUUGGAUUAUGGGAGCUGCUGGCUUUUGAAGUCGGCUCUUCUAAAAUGUAUUAGCAAGAUCAUUGCUGCUCAUCAUUGGUAUGAUAAUUAUCUAUAUCAUUGAGAGUCAGUUUCCUUUGUUCGAAGAUUUUGCUCCUAACGGUCUUUAGCAAGACAACAUUUGACGAUUUUGACCUCAAAUCAGGUAGGACUACCCGCUGAACUUAAGCAUAUCAAUAAGCGGAGGA
rnacentral:misc_RNA from 1 species